AGGAAAGGCCAUGUAAGGACACAGGGAAAAGUUGCCAAUCUACAGGCCAAGAGAAGAGGUCUACCAGAAUUCAGUUCUGAUGGCACCUUGAUCUUCAUCUACUAACCUCCAGAAUGAGAGAGACACAGCAAGACAGGGAACACAAGCAGGGGGAGUGGAAGUGGGAGAAGCAGGCUUCGUGCCGAGCAAGGAGCCAGAUGCGGGACUCGAUCCCAGGACCCCAGGAUCGUGACCUGAGCUGAAGGUAGAUGCAUAACAGACUGAGCCACCCAGGCGCCCUGCUCUGAUGAACACACACCAGUGGAGGACGAUGAGCCAAAGAAAAGCACCAGUUCAGCUUCUACUUCAGAAGAAGAAAAGAAGAAGAGGAAGAAGUCUAAUCAUUCAAAAGAGAGGUCCAAGAAAAAGAGAAAGAAGAAAUCCUCUAAAAGAAAACACAAGAAGUACUCUGAUGACAGCGACAGUGACUCUGACUCUGACUCAGACUCCAGUGCAUCCUCUUAGCCCGAGAACGACUGUCUCCUCAGUCUUCCAUGUUCUUUCUCUUGCUUCUGUGACUUGAUACAGAGGCCAUCUGCCUGCAGCGCCAGUCUCUCCCUGCAUACUGCUUGGCUUACUCUCCUCAACAGUGGGCAUGCAGUACUUUCGUAAUAAAACUGAUUUUGUUUUAUUUUUACUUUUUAAAAAAAUUUUAUUUAUUUAUUUGACUGAGAGAGCAUGCAAACAGGGGGAGCAGCAGGCAGAGGGAGAAGCAGGCUCCUCGCUGAGCAGGGGGCCCAACAUGGAGCUCAAUUCCAGAACUCUGGGAUCAGGACCUGAGCCAAAGGCUGACACUUAACAAACUGAGCCACCCAGGUGCCCCAAAAGAAAUGAUUUUUUUUUAAAAGAUUUUAGUUAUUUGACAGAGAGAGUGAGUGAGCAUGAGCAGGGGGAGCAGCAGGCAGAGGCAGAGGGAGAAGCAGGCUCCCAACUAAGCAGGGGAACCCGAUGUAGGGCUCAAUCCCAGGACCCCAGGAUCAUGACCUGAGCUGAAGGCAGACACUUAACUGACCGACUGAGUCACCUAGGUGCCCCAGUAAGAUUGAUUUGUAAAAGAACUAGCUUAAGAGUCACCAUUCCUGAAGCACCCUUCCCAAGCAAGCUGGCCUGAUUAUGAGACUUCUCUGUACGCCCAGAGUACCCCCAUGCUUCCCUGUAUCACUCCAGAUUCCGAUUAUUUCUUUACCUCUGUCUCCUCUAUUAGACUGAGUGUCCCUGACCCCAAACACAUAAGGUAUUUUUCUUUUCAUUAUGAAAAUACUCCGGAAAGCAAAGGGGAUAGUAUAAGUAAUACCAUAUACUUACAACUCGGGUUAGACAUUUGUUAGCAUUUUGACAUAGUUGUUUCAAAUAUGAGUUUUUUGCUAAGGUAGCCAAAGUAAAUUAUAAAUAUACUUUGAUGCUAAAUAUCUCUAUAUGCAGGUCUUUAAAAAAAAAAGACAUUUUCCUACUUAACUACAAUACCAUUAUCUCACCCAGUAGAUUAGCCCUGGGUGUUCUGGGCCACAGGGACACCAGAAUAACCCAUCUCCAUUUGGGUUCCAGGACACAAAUGACAUUAUAGGGUCCAUCUGAGAUUAUGAUGACAGCAUGACCCACGGCGAUGGGAGUCGUAUUUCUGAGAAUUAAGACUUUCUGAUGUCUCCAACACUUGGCCCUCCUAUUCUUAAACUAAACCUUCAGUUAGAAAAGAGGGAUUUGUUUGGUAUAUUGAAUAGUUAAUGUCUUAAUAGAAAAACACAGCAUACCAAUUUAUAUGCUAUUGAGAUUUUAAACCACAAUGGAGGAGAAGCUUUUUCAUUGUUGCUGAAAUAUCUUAGGAAAGUUCAUACUGCACUCCCUCCAUUCAGCUCACCCUUAGUGAGCGUGAACUAUGUGCCAAGCUCUGGUCUAGGCCUAUUGCUUUGUUUUUAUUCUCCCACUUUUAAUGUUUUUUUUUUUAAAGGUUUUAUUUAUUCAUUUGACAGAGAGAGAGAGAGAGGGAACACAAGCAGGGGGAGUGGGAGAAUGAGAUGUUUUUUCCUUUUGAACAUCUCAUUAAGGAUGAGAUGUUUUCCUAUCUUAGGUUUCCUAUAUUAGGAAAAGAUGUUUCCCUAUCUUUUUAAAAUUUAAAUUCAAUUUAAUUAACAUACAGUGUAUUGCUAGUUUCAGAGGUAGGUUUAGUGACUCAUCACUUACAUACAACACCCAGUGCUCAUUCCAUCAAGUGUCCUCCUUAAUGCCCCUCACCCAGUUACCCCGUCGCACUCCAUCUCCCCUGCCGGCAACCCUCAGUUUAUUCUGUGGUUAAGAGUCUCUUGUGAUUUGUCUCCCUCUCUGUACUCCUAUACUUAUUUUUAUUUUUCCUUCCCUUCCCCAAUGUUCAUCUGUUUUGCUCUUUAAAUUACACAUAAGAGUGAAAUCAUAUGGUAUUUGUCUUUUUCUGAUUGACUUAUUUUAAUUAGCAUAAUACCUUCUAGUUUCAUCCAUGUCACUUGAAAUGGCAAGAUUUCAUUCUUCUUGAUGGUUGAAGUCAUACUCUGUUGUAUGUGUAUGCCACAUUUUCUUUCUCCAUUCGUCAGUGGACAUCUGGGCUCUUUUCGUAUUGUGGCUAUUAAGGACAUUGCUGCUAUAAACAUUGGGGUGCAGGUGCCCCUUCGGAUCACUGCAUUUGUAUUUUUGGGGAAAAUACCCAGUAGUGCGAUUGCUGAAUUGUAAUGUAGCUCUAUUUUUAACUUUGUGAGGAGCCUCCAUGCUGUUUUCCAGAGAGGCUGCACCAGCUUGCAUUCCCACCAACAGUGUAGGAGGGUUCCCCUCUCUCCACAUCCUCUCCAACAUCUGUCGUUUCCUGACUUGUUAAUUUUAGCCAUUCUGACUAGUGUGAGGUGGUAUCUCAUUGUGGGUUUGAUUUGUAUUUCCCUGAUGCCAAAUGAUGUUGAGCAUUUUUCCAUGUGUCUGUUGGUCAUUUGGAUGUCUUCUGCCCAUUUCUUUUUUUUUAAGGAUUUUAUUUGUUUAUUUGACAGAGAUCACAAGUAGGCAGAGAGGCAGGCAGAGAGAGAGGGGGGAAGCAGGCUCCCUGCCGAGCAGAGAGCCCGACUCGGGGCUCUAUCCCAGGAACCCGAGAUCAUGUCCUGAGCCGAAGGCAGAGGCUUUAACCCACGGAGCCACCCAGGCAUCCCUGCCCAUUUCUUGAUGGGAUUCUUUAUUCUUUGGGUGUUGAGUUUGAUAUGUUCUUUAUAGAUUUUGGGUACUAGCCCUUUAUCUGAUAAGGCAUUUGUCAAUAUCUUCUACCAUCCUGUAGGUUGCCUUUUAGUUUUGUUGACUGUUUCCUUUGCUGUGCAGAAUCUUUUUUUUAAAGAUUUUUAUUUAUUUAUUUGACAGAUGGAUAUCACAAGUAGGCAGAGAAGCAGGCAGAGAGAGAAGACGAAGCAGGCUCCCCACUGAGCAGAGAGCCCGAUGCCGGGCCUGAUCCCAGGACCCUGGGAUCAUGACCUGAGCCGAAGGCAGAGGCUUUAAUGCACUGAGCCACCCAAGCGCCCCCAGAAUCUUUUUAUCUUGAUGAAGUCCCAGUAGUCAUUUUUGCUUUUGUUUCUCUUGCCUUUGGAGACAAUGUCAAGCAAGAAGUUGCUGUGGCUGAGAUCGAAGAGGUUGCUGCCUGUGUUCUCCUCAGGGGUUUUGUGGAUUACUGUACCACAUUUAGGUCUUUCAUCCAUUUUGAGUCUAUUUUUGUGUGUGGUAUAAGGAAAUGGUCCACUUUCAUUCUUCUGCAUGUGGCUGUCCAAUUUUCCCAGCACCAUUUGUUGAAGAGGCUGUCUUUUUUCCGUCGGACAUUCUUCCCUGCUUUGUCAAAGAUCAGUUGACCAAAGAGUUCAGGGUCCAUUCCUGGGUUCUCUGUUCUGUUCCAUCGAUCUGUGUGUCUGCUUUGUGCCCGUACCGUGAGAUCUUGAUGAUUACAGAUUUGUAAUAGAGCUUGAACUCCGGAAUUGUGAUGCCUCCGGCUUUAGUUUUCUUUCUGAACAUUCCUCUGGCUAUUCAGGGUCUUUCUGGUUCCAUACAGAUUUAAGGAUUGCUUGUUCCAGCUCUGAAAAAUGCUGAUGGUAUUUUGAUAGGGAUUGUGUUUAAUGUGUACAUUGCUUUGGGUAGUAGAGACAUUUUAAUGAUGUUUGUUCUUCCAAUCCAUGAGCAUGGAAUGUUUUUCCACUUCUUUGUGUCUUUCUCAAUUUCUUUCAUAAGUGUUCUAUAGUUUCUAGAGUACGGAUUUUUUACCUCUUUGGUUAGGUUUAUUCCUAGGCAUUUUAUGGUUUUUGGUGCAGUUGUAAAUGGGAUCGAUUCUUUGAUUUCUCUUUGCUCUGCUACAUUGUUAGUGUAGAGAAAUGCAGCAUUGAUUUUAUGUGCGUUGAUGUGCACAUUAUUUUAUGUGCAUUGAUUUUAUAUCCUGCAAAUUUGCUGAAUUCCUAUAUCAGUUCUAGCAAUUUUGGGGUGAGUCUUUUGGGGUUGCAACAUAGAGUAUCGUGACAUCUGCAAUAAGUAUAAGUUUGACUUCUUUGCCAAUUUUGGAUGCCUCUUAUUUCUUUUUUUUUUUUUUUUUUUGUCUGUUUACUGAGGCUAGGAUUUUCAGUACUAUGUUGAACAACAGUGGUGAGAAUGGACAUCCCUGUCAUGUUCCUGAUCUUAGGAGAAAAGCUCUCAGUUUUCUCCAUAGAGAAUGGUAUUUGCUCUGGGUUUUUCAUAGAUGGCUGUGAUGAUAUUGAGUAUGUAGAUAGAGUACCCUCUAUCCCUACACUGUGAAGAGUUUUGAUCAAGAAAGGACACUGUACUUUGUCAAGUGCUUUUUCUGCUUCUAUUGAGAGGAUCAUAUGGUUCUUGUCCUUUAUUUUAUUAAUGUAGUGUGUCACAUUGAAUGGUUUGCAGAUGUUGAACCACCCUUGCAGCCCACUUGGUCAUGGUGACUAAUCCUUUUAAUGUACUGCUGUAUUCAAUUAGUUUGGAUCUUGGUGAGAAUUUUUGCAUCCAUGUUUAUCAGGGAUAUUGUUCUGUAAUUCUCCUUUUUGGUGGGGUCUCUGGUUUUGGGAUCAAGGUUAUAUUGGCCUCAUAGAACGAGUUUGGAAGUUUUCCUUCCAUUUCCUUUUUUUUUUAAUUUUUAUUUAUUUGAGAGUGAGAGAAAGGGCACAAGCAGGGGGAGUGGCAGGGAGAGGGAGAAGCAUAUGUCCCGCUGAGCAGAGAGCCCAGUGUGGGGGCUUGAUCCCAGGACCCUGAGAUCAUGACCUGAGCUGAAGACAGACGUUUAACCAAUUGAGCCACUCACUUGCCCCUCAUUUCUAUUUUUUGAAACAGUUUCAGAAGAAUAGGUAUUAGUUCUUUUUUUUUUUUAGGACUUUAUUUUAUUUGAGAGAAAGAGAAUGAGAGAGAGUGAGCACUUGAGCACAGGGGUGGAGGGUGAGAGGGAGAAGCAGAAGCAGACUUCCCACUGAGUAGGGAGCCCAAUGCAGGGCUCAGUCCCAGGCCUCUGGGAUCAUAACCUGAGCUGAAGGCAGAUGCUUAACUGACUGAGCUACCCCGGCACCCCAGUAUUAAUUUUCUUUAAACGUUUGGUAGAAUUCCACUGGGAGGCCAUCCAGCUCUGGACUCUUUGUUAGGAGAUUUUUGAUUGCAGAUUUCAAUUCCUUGGCUGGUUAUGGGUGUGUUCGGGUUUUCUGUUUCAGUUUUGGUAGUUUAUGUGUUUCUAGGAAUGCAUCUGUUUCUUCCAGAUUGCCUAAUUUGUUGGCAUACAAUUGCUCAUCAUAUUGUCUUAUAUUUGUAUUUCUUAGGUGUUGUCAUCUCUUCUCUCUCAUUCAUGAUUUUAUUUUUUUUUAAGAUUUUAUUUUAUUUUAUUUAUUUGCCAGAGAGAGAGAGAGAGCACAAGUAGGCAGAGCAGCAGGCAGAGGUAGAGGAAGAAGCAGCCUCUCCACUGAGCAGAGAGCCGGAUGAGGGGAUCAAGUCGCACAAGAUCCAGGACCCUGGGAUCAUGAUCUAAGCCGAAGGCAGAUGUUUAACAGACUGAGCCACCCAGGUGCCCCUCAUUCAUGGUUUUAUUUAUUUGGGUCCUUUCUCUUUUCUUUUUGAUAAGUCUGGCUAGGGAUUUAUCAUGCUAAUUCAAACAACCAGCUUCUAGUUUUGUUGAUCUAUUUUUUUUCGUUUCUCUAUCAUUGAUUUCUGAUCUAAUUUUUAUUAUUUCUCUUCUGCUGGAUUUAGGCUUUAUUUGCUGUUCUUUUUCAGCUCGUUUAGAGGUAAGUUUAGCUUACACCUUUAGCUUACACAUUUGAGCCUUUUCUUGCUUCUUGAGAAAGGCCUGCAUUGCUAUAUACUUCCCCUCCUAAUACCUCUUGUGCUGCUUCCCAGAGGUUUGGAACUAUCGUGUUUUCAUCUUCAUUUGUUUCCAUGUAUUUUUUCAAUUCUUCUUUAAUUUCCUAGUUGACCCAUUCAUUCUUUAGUAGGAGGCUCUUUAGCCUCCAUGUAUUUGUGUUCCUUCCAAAUUUCCUCUUGUGAUUGAGUUCAAGGUUUAAAGCACCUUGAACUUAAAGCCACCUUGUGGCCUGAAAAUAUGCAUGGUAUAAUCUUAGUCUUUUUGUACUGGUUGAGACCUGAUUUGUGACCCAGAAUGUGAUCCAUUUUGGAGAAUGUUCCAUGUGCACUCGAGACGAAUGAGUAUUCUCUUGUUUUAGGAUGGAAUGUACUGAUAUAUCUGUAAAGUCCAUCUGGUCCAGUGUCAUUUAAAGCUGUUGCUGCCUUGCUGUUUAGCAAGGAUCUUCUGUUUAGAUCAUCUCUCCAUUGCUCAGUGGAGUGUGAAAGUCCCUUACUAUUAUUGUAUUAUUAUCAAUGUGUUUCUUUAAUUUUGUUAUUGAUUAGUUUAUAUAUUUGGCUACUCUCAAGUUAGGGGCAGAACUGAGAUCUUCUUAUUGAAUAGACCUUUUUAUUAUGAUAUAGUGUCCUCCUGCAUCUCUUUUUAAGUCUUUGAUUUAAAAUCUGGUUUGUUAGAUAGAAUUGCCACCCCAGCUUUCUUUUGAUAUCCAUUAGCAUGGUAAAUGGUUCUUCACCCCACACUUUUAAUCUGGAGGUGUCUUUGGGUUUAAAAUGAGUCUCUUGUGGACUGAUGGGUCUUAUUUUUUUAAGAUUUUAUUUAUUUAUUUGAGAGAGAGAGCAGGGUGAGGGGGAAGGGCCAGAGCAAGAGGGAGAAGCAGGCUCCCCGCUGAGCAGGGAGCCCAAUGCAGGGCUCAAUCCCAGGACCCAGAGAUCAUGACCUGAGUCAAAGGCAGAUGUUUAAAUAACUGAGCCGCCCAGGUACCCCUGGGUCUUGUUUUUUUUUUUUUUUUAAUCCAAUCUGAUACUCUAUAUGUUUUGAUUGGAGCAUUUAGCUGAUUUACAUUCAGAGUAAUUAUUGAAAGAUAUGAAUUUAGUUCCAUUGUAUUACUGCGAAGUGGCUGUUUCUGUAGAUUUUCUCUGUUCCUGUAGAUUUUCUCUGUUCCUUUCUGGUCUUUGUUACUUUUGGGCUCUCUCUUCACUCAAAGGAUCCCCUUUAAUAUUUCUUACAGGGCUGAUUUAGUGUUCAUGAAUUCCUUUAGUUAUUGUGUGUCCUGGGAACUCUAUUUUGAAUGACAGGCUUGCUGGACAAAGUCUUCUUGGCUGCAUAUUUUUUCCACUCAGCACCCUGAAUAUAUCCUGCCAGUCCCUUCUGGCCUGCCAGGUCUCUGUGUACAGGUUUGCUGCCUGUCUAAUGCUCUUACCCUUGUCAGUUAUAGACCUCCUGUCCCUAGUUGUUUUCAGGACUUUCUAUCUCUGAAAUUUGCACUGUUAUAUGUUGGGGUGUUGACCUAUUUUUAUUGAUUUUGAGGGGGUUUCUGUGUGCCUCCUGGACUUGAAUGCCUGUUUCCUUCCCCAGAUUAGGGAAGUUCUCAACUAUAAUUUUUUUUUAAAGAUUUUAUUUAUUUAUUUGACAGAGAGAGAUCACAGGUAGGCAGAGACACAGGCAGAGAAAGAGAGAGGAGGAAGCAGGCUCCCUGCUGAGCAGAGAGCCCGAUGGCGGGACUCGAUCCCAGGACCCCGAGACCAUGACCCGAGCCGAAGGCAGCGGCUCAACCCACUGAGCCACCCAGGCGCCCCUCAACUAUAAUUUGUUCAAAUAAACCUUCUGCCCCAGUCUUCAUUUCCUGGGACCCCUAUUAUCCAGAUACUAUUUUACGUUUAUGCUAUCGCUGAUUUCUUGAAGUCUCCCUUCAUGAUCCAGUAGUUGCUUUUCUCUUUUUUUCUCACCUACUUUAUUUUCCAUCAUUUUUUCUUCCGUAUCACUCUCUCUUUUGCCCCAUAUUUCCUUGGUGUUAGAGCCUCCCCCCUCCUUUUUUUUUUUAAAAGAUUUUAUUUAUUUAUUUGACACACAGAGAGAGAUCACAAGUAGGCAGAGAGGCAGGCAGAGAGAGAGGGAAGCAGGCUCCCCACUGAGCAGAGAUCCCGAUGCGGGGCUCGAUCCCAGGAUCCUGAGAUCACGACCUGAGCCAAAGGCAGAGGCUCAACCCACUGAGCCACCCAGGUGCCCCAGAGCCUCCCUUUUUGACUGCAUCUCAGUAAGGGCUUUUUAAAUUUCAGCCUGAUUAGAUUUUAGUUAUUUUAUUUCUACCAUAAGGGAUUCUCUAGUGUCUUCUGUGCUGUUUUCAAGCCCCGCUAGUACCUUUAUAAUUGUUGUUUUGAAUUCUAGUUCUGACGUCUUACUUGUAUUUAUAUUGAUUAAAUCCCUGGCAGUGAGUAUUUUCUCCUGUUGUUUAGGGUGAGUUUCUCUGACUUGUCAUUAUGUCCAGAAAAGAACAGAAGGAAGAGAGAAAAGACAAAAAGAAUAACACCACCAGAAAAAAACAAACCAGAAUAAAACACAAACAAAACAAAAUAAGAAAAAGCAAACAAGAAGUAGAACAGAGCAAAACAAUAAACUAGGUCCUGGGUGUAUUUUGAUCUGUUUGUUAAAGGAAAGUAGAUCCCAAAAUGGGAAAAAAAGAAAAACUAAUAAAUGUACAAAAAUAAAAUACAAUGAAAGGAAUCCCCCCAAAAAUACACACACACACACACAACACACACAUACACAGAGACACAUAUAUUAUAAUACAUAUAUAUAAACUAAAAAAUAAUAAAGAAUUGAAAAAAUAAUAGCUUAAAAGAAAAAAAAAUUGAAAGACUAAAGAAUAAUAAGAAAAAACCACGAAUGCUAUAUACUGCUUUCCCUGACAGCUGAAGUCCUGCGGUCUCUGGGAUCAGUAAACCGGUGUUAGCCGGAAGUUCCUGCUGGUGUUCUGGGGGACGGGCCUGUUGCGCUGAUGCUCGGGUGUCCUUGCCUGGGUGGAACUGCGUCCUCCUCGCCAGCGGCCCCGCUCAGUGUAAGUGGCUCCGGAUGGCACUGUGUGCUGCUGUUUGGCUUCCUGCAGGCUUUCAGCAGGCACGGGUGGGGGGUGAAUAUGGCAGCGUCCCGCUCUCUAGCCCUGGAGCUGAGAGCCCGCACCCCCAUUCCUCAGUGUGCUCUCAGAGAAAAGCAGUCGAUCCCUCUUGUCUCCCCGGUUUCCCACCGCACUCUGGUCACCCAGCCUGUGACCGAGCAUUUUUAUCUGAGGCACGUGACCCAGUCUCAAGUCUCCAAACUUGACAGACACGUGUGGCGCAGACCAGCACCGUUCCUCUCAGGGUCCGGAGGGGUGUUGCCGCGCUUCUGCUUUUUGCUGGGCCCCUGCCCAGAGACCGGUCACUCGACUGUGCGGCCGUUCUCAGUUUAUGGUGGCACCAGGCAGAAAGCCAGUGCCUAGAACCAAGGUUUGCCGCCAGCUCCCCGCUCUGAUGCCUGGGAACUCUGCUGCACUCAUGUACCCCUGUUCUUGUGAUCCCGGGGAUCCUGAGACCACACUGUCCCACCUGGGAUUCUACCCUGCUUUGCCACCCAUGCAUCUUUAAGCCAGGAACGUCCCCCACCAUAGCAGACUUCUGCACGGUCUGGUUUUGUGCUCCACUGCUUGUGAUAGUUCGCAGUAGUCUCCUUAAGUAGGCUUCCUCCCCUCUGCCUAUCCCUGAUAUAUUGCCCCAGGUUCACGGCUCAGUACCUCCUGCCUUCUGAAAAGCGGUUGCUUGUCUAGUUGUAGAAUUGCAUUUCUUUUCUCAGAUCUCCAGUUGGUUUUUGCAGGUGUUCAGAAUGAUUUGGUAAUUACCUAGCUGAAUUCCAGGGACCAGAUGAACCCUACUCCUCUGCCAUCUUAACUCACUCCCAACAACAAUACUCAUGGUUUUGUAUGCCUCAGCAUUUCUCCACGUCUGGGAGGUCUGUGAACCUAGUUAUGUAGCCUCCUUCCUGUUUCUCCCUACGCAGCCCUGCCCAUCCUGGAUGGACCUCCAGAGCGUUGUGCUCAGUUAAGUCAGAGAAACAAAUAUGGUAUGACCUUACGUGUGGAAUCUAAAAAAACCAAGAGGUGCUUGGGUGGCUCAGUCACUUAUGGACGACUCUUGAUUUUGGCUCCGGUUCCUGGGAUCAAGCCCUGCAUCAGGCUCUGCACUCAGUGGGGAGUCUGCUUGAGGAUUCUGUCUCCCUCUCCUGCCCCUCUCCAUCUCUCCCACUGAUGCUUGUUUUCUGUCUCUCUCAGAUAAAUCUGCCAAAAAACCCCACAAAACAAGAAACCAAGCUUUAGAUAACAAACGGAUUGGCAUUUGCUAGAGGUGGGGGGAAGUGGGAGAUAUGGGUGAAGAGGGUCAAAAGGUACAAAGUUCUGGUAAUAAAAUAAGUCAUGGGGAUAUAAAGUACAGCAUGAUGACUAGUUAAUACUGUACUGCAUAUCUGAAAGUUGCUAAGAGAGUAGAUCUUAAAGCUCUCAGCACAAGAAAAAAAAUUGUAACUGAUGACUGAUGUUAACUAGACCUACAAUCAUUUUGCAGUGUAUAUGGAUCAUGAUGUUGUAUACCGGAAACUGAUGUUAUAUGUUGGUUAUGCCUCAAUAAAAUCAAUUUUAA